rnacentral:rRNA from 1 species
UCUCCUGGAAACGGGUGGUAAUGCCGGAUGUUCCACAUGAGCGCAUGCGAGUGUGGGAAAGGCUUUUUGCGGCAUGGGAUGGGGUCGCGUCCUAUCAGCUUGUUGGUGGGGUAACGGCCUACCAAGGCGUUGACGGGUAGCCGGCCUGGGAGGGCGACCGGCCACAUUGGGACUGAGAUACGGCCCAGACUCCUACGGGAGGCAGCAGUGGGGAAUAUUGCACAAUGGGCGCAAGCCUGAUGCAGCGACGCCGCGUGCGGGAUGGAGGCCUUCGGGUUGUAAACCGCUUUUGUUCAAGGGCAAGGCACGGUUUCGGCCGUGUUGAGUGGAUUGUUCGAAUAAGCACCGGCUAACUACGUGCCAGCAGCCGCGGUAAUACGUAGGGUGCAAGCGUUAUCCGGAUUUAUUGGGCGUAAAGGGCUCGUAGGCGGUUCGUCGCGUCCGGUGUGAAAGUCCAUCGCUUAACGGUGGAUCCGCGCCGGGUACGGGCGGGCUUGAGUGCGGUAGGGGAGACUGGAAUUCCCGGUGUAACGGUGGAAUGUGUAGAUAUCGGGAAGAACACCA